AAUUAUUGAUUUGCGUCGAACCCGAAGCCCAUGCAACGCACAUCAGUUGGGCCGUCCUUAUUUUCGAGCCCUAACAAAUAUCCAUCUCAUCCUCUCCCUCUUAACCUAAAACUCCAACUCCCCAUCUCCCUCUUAACGUAAAACUCCCUCUCUGAACGCCGCUUCUUCCUCCCUCUCUCUGUCCUUCACUCGUCGAAAUUCAUCAAUCUGGAAAUUCCCUGUCUCCGAUCUGUUCGUUCCUUCGACCCUCUCAUCUCCCCAUAUCAGGCAACUCGAAAAUUCACGAGCAAUUUUCCGGACCCUCUCGAUCGUUCGACCUUUCUCGAUCUGUCAUCUCUUUCAUCCUCACCACCACAGUGGAGCAACACACUCCAUCUUCAUUCAACGAGAAACGCGCUGACAUCAAUGGCGAAGAAAAAUACGAAUGCAAUUUUCGUAUUGUGCUCGAGUAUGAGUCACGAGCAGCAAUUGAUAGCUAAACAGGAAGAAGACAUCAGUUUUUUUAUUUCAGCAAUUUCUGUAUUGUCUGUAAUUUUCUUUUUUGAUUUUCUGUAAUUUUCUCGUUUUAAUUUUCUGUAAUUCAUCUAUUUUUUUUAGUUUUUUUU